rnacentral:rRNA from 1 species
UUAUUGCUAAUUAUUUUUGUUUUUGUUAAUUUAAGGUAUAAAAUAUAUUUUUUUUUUAUUAUUUUUAUAGAAAUUUUUUAUUACGUUAUAUAUUAUUAGUAUUGUAGAAGAAUUUAUUAUUAAGUUAUUUAGAAUUUAUUAGAUGAAGUACCUUUUGUAUCAGGGUGAAACAAAAAACUUAUUUAUUUUAAAGUUCUCGAAAUGUAAUGAGCUAUCAAAUUAUAUUUAAUUACUGUUUAACAAUUAAUUUUUACUUUUUGAUUGAAAUGAUAUGUUAAUCGAAUUACUUUAUAUCUAGUUUAAUUUUUGUUAAUUUUUUUCUUAAGGGAUAAAUUUUAGGUUUUUGUAUAUUAAGGGUUUACUUAUUUUUAAUCAUUAUAUUGGAAGUGUAUAUUUUUUUAAUAGUUUAAUAACUUAUAACUUAAUUUUUUUUUGCGGUAUGUAAUUAUUUUUUUUUUAAUUUCUUUUUAAAGUAAUAAUGUUUUAAUAAGUAUAAUUUGUUUUUUUUUUAUUUUUAUAUUUAAAAUUUAUUUAAAGGAACUCGGCAAAUAUUUCUAUCGCCUGUUUAUCAAAAACAUGUCUUUUCGAUUUAUUUAAUGUAAAGUCUGGCCUGCCCAAUGAUUUUUUUUAAUGGCCGCAGUAAUUUGACUGUGCGAAGGUAGCAUAAUAAUUAGUUUUUUAAUUGAAGACUGGAAUGAAAGGUUUGACGUAUGGAAAGCUGUCUCUGAAUUUAUUUUAUAAUUUUAUUUUUAGGUUAAAAAGCCUAAAUUUUAGUAAGGGACGAAAAGACCCCAUCAAGUUUUAUACUUAUUUUUAUUAAUUUUCUUUUUUAAUUUUUUAUAGUAUUUUGCUGGGGCGGCAGGUUAAAUUUAUCUUAAUUAAGUUUAAUAAAUUAUAUUUUAUCUUUUUAUCUUUUUUUAAAAUUAAAUUAAAUUACUGUGGGGGUAACAGCGUAAUUAAUUUUUGGAGUUCAAAUCGAAAUAUUAGAUUGCGACCUCGAUGUUGGAUUAAUAUAGCUUUAAAGGUGAAGUUGUUUUUUAAAGUAAGUCUGUUCGACUUUUAAAAUAUUACAUGAUCUGAGUUCAGACCGGCGUGAGCCAGGUCAGUUUUUAUCUUUAUUAAUUAUAUUUAUAUUAUUAUAGUACGAAAGGACCUAUUAAU